rnacentral:rRNA from 1 species
GUCCACGCCGUAAACGAUGUCGACUUGGAGGUUGUGCCCUUGAGGCGUGGCUUCCGGAGCUAACGCGUUAAGUCGACCGCCUGGGGAGUACGGCCGCAAGGUUAAAACUCAAAUGAAUUGACGGGGGCCCGCACAAGCGGUGGAGCAUGUGGUUUAAUUCGAUGCAACGCGAAGAACCUUACCUGGCCUUGACAUGUCUGGAAUCCUGCAGAGAUGCGGGAUGCCUUGGGAAUCAGAACACAGGUGCUGCAUGGCUGUCGU